rnacentral:rRNA from 1 species
UACGUAGGGUCCGAGCGUUGUCCGGAAUUACUGGGCGUAAAGAGCUCGUAGGUGGUUUGUCGCGUUGUCCGUGAAAACUCACAGCUCAACUGUGGGCGUGCGGGCGAUACGGGCAGACUGGAGUACUGCAGGGGAGACUGGAAUUCCUGGUGUAGCGGUGAAAUGCGCAGAUAUCAGGAGGAACACCGGUGGCGAAGGCGGUUCUCUGGGCAUGUCUUGACGCUGAGGAGCGAAAGUGUGGGGAGCGAACAGG